rnacentral:rRNA from 1 species
CCUACGGGAGGCAGCAGUGGGGGAUAUUGCACAAUGGGGGGAACCCUGAUGCAGCGACGCCGCGUGGGUGAAGGAGUGCUUCGGCAUGUAAAGCCCUAUCGGCAGGGAAGAAGCAAGACGGUACCUGACUAAGAAGCCCCGGCUAACUACGUGCAAGCAGCCGCGGUAAUACGUAGGGGGCGAGCGUUAUCCGGAUUCACUGGGUGGAAAGGGAGCGUAGACGGCCAUGCAAGCCAGGGGUGAAAGCCCGGGGCCCAACCCCGGGACUGCCCUUGGAACUGCAUGGCUGGAGUGCGGGAGGGGCAGGCGGAAUUCCUGGUGUAGCGGUGAAAUGCGUAGAUAUCAGGAGGAACACCGGCGGCGAAGGCGGCCUGCUGGACCGCGACUGACGUUGAGGCUCGAAAGCGUGGGGAGCGAACAGGAUUAGAUACCCUUGUAGUC